GGCCAUCUCCUCCACUAGCCGUUCCCAGUUCCCAGGAGUCAUGCCUUUCAAGAGAUCCCUUGUUCAAAGAGAAUAGGACAAUUCAUCAUCCGAUGACGAGGACUACAUAAUAUUCUCGGUGGCUCGAAUUGUGUAAACUUUUUCCAAUGCCAAAAGAAGUCACUAUAUCCUUGGCCAAAGAGUUAUCUAUCGUGACAGAGAAGGCGGCCAUGACAAGAUAUUUCAAGAUUAUUUGGCAAUUAAUGCAACACACGACCCUCAAAUAUUCUAUCGAAGGUACAGGAUGUCUUGGGAGCUUUUUCUACGCAUAAUGAAUGCUAUUAAAGCACACGAUGAUUACUUCGUGCAAAAAAGAAUGCGGCCAAUGUACUUGGAUUGAGUUGCUUCCAAAAAGUAAUUGCCGCAUUUCGUGUGCUCACUUAUGGGGUUCCAGUUGAUGCUAUCGCAUUGGCGAAAGUACUACACUUGAGAGUCUUUAUAGGUGAGUGGGCCUAGGUUGAUGGGAUAGCGUGACCACCAAAGGAAUGGGAGUUGUGGACGGGUCCUCUCUAUAAUUUUUAGUUGUAGAGAUAAAUAUUUAUUAAUAAAAUUUUAUCUAAAUAUAUCCAUGUGUGAUCUUGUUUUAA